rnacentral:lncRNA from 10 species
GAAGAGCAGACGAAGGCAUGCAGAGGUGAGAAACUGGUGCUCUCAGAGAGCGUAUGAGUGGCCCAAUGUCACACUACCUCUGGGUGUGUGCAUGUGGAGCCAGGAUUUGAUCCUGGGCAGAUCAAACCCCAAGUGCCACCAGGUGCAGUCGAUCACAUGCUGACCCCCCACUUUACUGAUGAGAAAACUGAGACCUAGAGAGGUUGAGUAACCUGUCCAAGACACCUGGAUGAUAAGCCGGACCCAGCCAACAAGCCCAGCCAGCUUGAUGCCAGAAUCCUCUUACCUGACCUCUGUGCCUGCCAUCCCAGCUGCUAGAGUGGAGAGCCGGCCUUUCCUCGCUGCAGGAUGGACCCUAGGCCUCUCUCUGGGUUUCCAGAUCCUGCUCUGAAGAGCCGGCCUUUCCUCGCUGCAGGAUGGACCCUAGGCGUCUCUCUGGGUUUCCAGAUCCUGCUCUGGAGAGCCGGCCUUUCCUCGCUGCAGGAUGGACCCUAGGCGUCUCUCUGGGUUUCCAGAUCCUGCUCUGGAGAGCCGGCCUUUCCUCGCUGCAGGAUGGACCCUAGGCGUCUCUCUGGGUUUCCAGAUCCUGCUCUGGAGAGCCGGCCUUUCCUCGCUGCAGGAUGGACCCUAGGCCUCUCUCUGGGUUUCCAGAUCCUGCUCUGGAGAGCCGGCCUUUCCUCGCUGCAGGAUGGACCCUAGGCGUCUCUCUGGGUUUCCAGAUCCUGCUCUGAAGAUGAGGAGAUGACAUUUAGCACCAGCCUUCUCUAACUGGCUCUAAGAGGAAUCGGUGUUCCCUGGUGGUUCAGGAGUCAAAAGGGCCAACUGUAGCUUUAUUCCUCUUUCAAAGGAAAUAAAGCAGAGGUCCUAUUUGGGGAUAGGCCCUAUGCCUGAGUUACUUUGGCACUUAAUUGCUAUUAUUUAAUUGCUGUAUUGGGGAGCACAAAGUGAUCUACUGCAAAGUUAUUAGCAAAUUCUAGUUUUAAGGAAAUAAUUACUGAAUUCUCCCUCCCUGGGUUGAGUAAUUCCUUCCAAGAUGCUCAGCGACAUUAAGCAUUUUCACUAGGGCCACUAGCAGCUCUGUAAUAUGCAAAUAAAGUAACUCUGUAAUUACCAAUAAAAUGCUUACUGAAG